UAUAUAUCUCAGGGGAAACAACAGUGUUGUUCUCAGCAUGGUUUGAGCCUCAGUGACCUUUAACAUCUGCCCUCUCCACAUGAGGACAUGCCAGAGAGUGCACAGGAUGGGCCUUGUGGCUCCAGCAAUACCAAACUUUGUCUCCUGUCUGGCCACUCUGAAGACAUGGGAGGAUGAUCAGUGAACUAUGUGCCUGUCUUCACUUCCAGGAGAUUGAUGUGGUCAGUGGAUCUAUCUUGUGUAAGAAAUUUGGAGCUUCUUGACAAAUGUCAUCAUGGUGGCCGGUAAGUCUUCUUGUGGGAAGGAUAUAGGACCUCCUGUUUACUUACUGCCUAUUCCUGUGAGGUGAAGAGUGAAGAUGGGAGCUACCUAGAUGCCAAUAGAAAAGAGA